rnacentral:rRNA from 1 species
UACGUAGGGUGCAAGCGUUGUCCGGAAUUAUUGGGCGUAAAGAGCUCGUAGGCGGUUUGUCGCGUCUGCUGUGAAAACCCGAGGCUCAACCUCGGGCCUGCAGUGGGUACGGGCAGACUAGAGUGCGGUAGGGGAGAUUGGAAUUCCUGGUGUAGCGGUGGAAUGCGCAGAUAUCGGGAAGAACACCCGUGGCGAAGGCGGCUCUCUGGGACGGUACUGACGCUGAGACGCGAAAGCGUGGGGAGCGAACAGG